CUUGAGGGAACCCAGGUACAGCGGCCGGUCGGCGGGCCGGUCCUGGCCGUACGUGGCGAGCAGGGCCUGCGCCUC
rnacentral:antisense_RNA from 1 species